rnacentral:rRNA from 1 species
GAGUUUGAUCUUGGCUCAGAGCGAACGCUGGCGGCAGGCCUAACACAUGCAAGUCGAACGAACUCUUCGGAGUUAGUGGCGGACGGGUGAGUAACACGUGGGAACGUGCCUUUUGGUUCGGAAUAACUCAGGGAAACUUGUGCUAAUACCGAAUGUGCCCUUCGGGGAAGGAUUAUCGCCAUUAGAGCGGCCCGCGUCUGAUUAGCUAGUUGGUGGGGUAAAGGGCUCACCAAGGCGACGAUCAGUAGCUGGUCUGAGAGGAUGAUCAGCCACAUUGGGACUGAGACACGGCCCAAACUCCUACGGGAGGCAGCAGUGGGGAAGUCUUGCGCAAUGGGCGAAAGCCUGACGCAGCCAUGCCGCGUGAAUGAUGAAGGUCUUAGGAUUGUAAAAUU